rnacentral:rRNA from 1 species
GUGAGUAAUGUCUGGGAAACUGCCUGAUGGAGGGGGAUAACUACUGGAAACGGUAGCUAAUACCGCAUAACGUCGCAAGACCAAAGAGGGGGACCUUCGGGCCUCUUGCCAUCAGAUGUGCCCAGAUGGGAUUAGCUAGUAGGUGGGGUAAUGGCUCACCUAGGCGACGAUCCCUAGCUGGUCUGAGAGGAUGACCAGCCACACUGGAACUGAGACACGGUCCAGACUCCUACGGGAGGCAGCAGUGGGGAAUAUUGCACAAUGGGCGCAAGCCUGAUGCAGCCAUGCCGCGUGUGUGAAGAAGGCCUUCGGGUUGUAAAGCACUUUCAGCGAGGAGGAAGGUGGUGAACUUAAUACGUUCAUCAAUUGACGUUACUCGCAGAAGAAGCACCGGCUAACUCCGUGCCAGCAGCCGCGGUAAUACGGAGGGUGCAAGCGUUAAUCGGAAUUACUGGGCGUAAAGCGCACGCAGGCGGUUUGUUAAGUCAGAUGUGAAAUCCCCGGG